rnacentral:rRNA from 1 species
GACGAACGCUGGCGGCGUGCUUAACACAUGCAAGUCGAACGGAAAGGCCCUGCUUUUGUGUGGUGCUCGAGUGGCGAACGGGUGAGUAACACGUGAGUAACCUGCCCUUGACUUUGGGAUAACUUCAGGAAACUGGGGCUAAUACCGGAUAGGAGCUCCUGCUGCAUGGUGGGGGUUGGAAAGUUUCGGCGGUUGGGGAUGGACUCGCGGCUUAUCAGCUUGUUGGUGGGGUAGUGGCUUACCAAGGCUUUGACGGGUAGCCGGCCUGAGAGGGUGACCGGCCACAUUGGGACUGAGAUACGGCGCAGACUCCUACGGGAGGCAGCAGUGGGGAAUAUUGCACAAUGGGCGGAAGCCUGAUGCAGCAACGCCGCGUGCGGGAUGACGGCCUUCGGGUUGUAAACCGCUUUCGCCGGUGACGAAGCGUGAGUGACGGUAAUGGGUAAAGAAGCACCGGCUAACUACGUG